GACUUUGGAUGGAUGGAGACUCAUGAGCUGGAAGCACUUAAAGUUCUAGAGGAGGAGAGCCUGCUCUGCAUGGGAUCCUGCCCUGCAUUGUGUGUUGUAGGGACCGGUGAAAAGAAUGAGGAAUGGUUGUUCUCCCCCAUCAGUUCAUGAAAUACUUGAAACAAGGUUGGAGAAGAGGUGGAGCCUGUGGAAUUUGGGCCUGAUCUGUGGCCCCUCAAGGGAAGGCUGACACUGGGCCAGAUGAAGACACCUGUGCCUCAUCCCAGCAGCUAAGAAGUUGUUGAACCAGUGGGUAAGUUCCCUUGUUCCUGGGGUUGGUGACUGCAUGAAACCCAGACCGAGGAGGUAUUUUCCAGAUGCUUCUGUAGGAGAUGGGCAGCAUGACCACAUCUAAGCUGCCUUGAUUAGGAUAGGGUCCUUUCCCCCUUUUUUCUGCCAACAGAAUGCCCAUCCCUUAGGGUGCUCCAGCACUUGGACCUGAGCCUCAGUGAACUGGCAGAGAGAGGAAGGACAAACAGAGCAUACAUCCAGUGACCUAGAACUGCUGAAAGAGGCAGAUGGCAACAUGAGUUUUAAAAAAAUAAGCACUACAGAUAUUUAAAUAUAGUAAAAAGAGACUGUGGAGCUAAAAAUAUGAUUUCCCAAUUAAAUGGUUCAGUUGAUGAGUUGAAGGAGAAAAUGAUCACUACUGAGAUUCAGAUAUGCAGCCUGGUAAAUCAAGGUCAGCAAAUAGCUUAAAGUUCAGAACAAAAAAUAUAGAGAUGGAAAUUAGAGGGAAAAAUGCUUUGGAAGGGCAGAUCUAAUGACCUAACAUAUAAAUAACAGGACUUCCAGAAGAAGAAAAUGGAAUAGAUGAAAGAAAUAAUAAAUGUGAUUGAAAAAUAUUGCCCUGAGCUGAAGGAAAACUUCAGUCUGUAAGAUUGAAAAGAUUCCCUGGGGGCUCUCUGCAGGCUCAGUCGGUUGAGCGGCCUAAUUUGGCUCAGGUUGUGAUCUCAUAGCUCGAAGGCUCAUGAGUUCAAGCCCCCAACUGGGCUGUGUGCUGACAGCUCAGAGCCUGGAGCCUGCUUCAGAUUCUGUGUGUGUGUGUGUGUCUCUCUCUCUGCCCUCCUCUGCUCACACUCUGUCUCUGUCUCUCUCUCAAAAAAUAAUAAAAUAAACAACAACAGCAACAAAAAAGAUUUCCUGAAUUUCAGACUGAACUGACAAGAAAGUACCUAGGUCUAUUUCUGAACCCUAAGGAUAAAAGAGGAAAAUGUUAUAAGGUCCAGGCAAUUACCUCAACUGACCUAUAAAGAGAAAAGAACCAGAUUGGCAUUACACUUUUCAUCUAGUACUAAAGCUAGAAGCUAAUGAAAUAGACUUUAUAGGACUGUGCCUAUUCAAGUUAUCUACCUGUUAAGGAAAAAGAAAUAUAUCGAGGCUAAUCAUAAGUGAACCAGGAGAGAAUGGAAUGCAAAAGUAGAAUGGAACAUUCAAAUUAACAAGGGGGAAAAUGGAAACCAGCAAAAAUAAGAAAAAGUAAAAGAGAGAGGAAAAUACUUACAGUCUGUUCUCUUUAUUCUAGGAUUCCAUAUCUGCAAAUUUACCUACUUGCUAAACUUGCUUUGUAACCCCAAAAUCAGUAUUGCGAAAUGCAGUAUGUACAGGGAAUACAAGAUAUAUGGCUACUUUGGAAAACAGUUUGGCAGUUUCUUACGAACUAAACUCUUACCAUAUGAUCCUAAUUGAACUCCUAAGUAUUUAACCAAAUGAGUUGAAAAUUUAUGUUCGCAUAAAAGCUGCACAUGGAUGUUUAUGGCAGUCUUAUUUAUAAUUACCAAAACUUGGAAGCAACCACAAUGUCCUUCAGUAAAUGAAUGGAUAAAAUUAACUGAAGUACAUGAAGACAGUGAAUAUUAUUCAGUGCUAAGAAGAAAUGAAUCAUCGAGCCAUGAGAAGAUAUGGAGGGGCCUUAAAGCAUAUUACUAAGUGAAAGAAGUGAUCUGAAAAGGCUAUGUACUGUAUGAUUCCAACUAUAUGGCAUUCUGGGAAAGGCAAACUAUGGAAGCAGUAAAAGAUCAGUAGUUUCAAUGUUAAAAAAAAUUAAAAGAAAAAAAGAUCAUUAGUUUCUAGGGGUUGAGAGGAGAGAGGGAGGAAUGAAUAGGUGGAGCUCAGAGGAUUUUUAGGUCAGUGAAACUACUCUGUAUGAUACCAAAAUGGUGGAUACAUCUCAUCAUACAUUUGUCCAAACCCAUACAAUGUAUAACACCAAGAGUGAACCCUAAUGUCAAGCAUGGAUUUUGGGUGACAAUGAUGUGUCAAUGUAGGUUUAUGACUUGUAGCAAAUAUAGCACUCUGGUGUGGGAUGUUGAUAGUGGGGGAGGGAGUGGCCACGUGUGUAGGGACACAAAGGGUAUGCAAAAACUUUUUGUAUAUUUUCCUUUGGUCUUUUCUAAUAUCUAGAAAACUUAAUCCUGACAGGUGUACUUAAAGUACCUCCCUACCUCAAGCCCUGCUUCCCCCAACUGUGUUAAAAUGGGAAGCCGUUUUUCAAAAAGCAAGAAAAUAAAAACAAAAAAGGAAGCCAUAUUUUCACCAUAAUAGAAAAAUAAGAUAUACUUAAAAUAAGUAGAAGGUAGCCGAAAAAGUGAAUAUAAUAAAAUCAAAACGAAGCUAUUAAAUUCUAGCUGCUAUUGCCAGCAGAUGGCUCAGAGCUAAGGCCUGCUCAAUAUGUUAUAAAGGAAGAUCACAGUCAUUAGAGAAGUGUUAAAGGCCCGCCAGCACCAAAUGGAGACCUUCUCUUCUACAGGAUUAAGGAACUGAAAAGGGACUGCAAAGGACAGUGCUCCUUCAGUGCCUGCUUUGAUAUCAUUUGAGGCUCUGCUCCUGUGUCACCUAAAAUUCCUGGUGUCUGAGCUCCAGUCCUUGGGAAAUGCUGAUUUAGUCUAAACCUAUAGCCAGCCCCUGGAAAGAUGGGCACCUCACACAAGGUCAAACAGCUGGGUGGUAGUGUGUCCUACCACACCAGGCUGGCUCCUCCUGAAGAAACAGAAUUCUCUCUAGAUGUUUUAAAGAAGCAGCAAAAUCAGGAGAUGACAUUCAGUUCUAUUCUUUGCUGGUCGUGGAAAAUAACUCCUUGCUCUUUUCCUUUCAGUCACUUAGACAAAUAAUCUCAUUUAUAUGAAAAUUAAAAUAGAUGUUCAAGGGGUGGCAUGGAAUAUAUAAAGCACGGAAUAUAUCUAGGAGGAGAAAAAUAUUCAUCAAGAAACCAUUUAAAAUGCUUUGUCUUGUUUCUCAGGGCGGGGAAGGAAUUUAAGAAUAGAACUCACGGAAGCAAGAGUUCCAAAUGGAAGAGAACAGUGGUGGGUAAUUAUAAUGUGAUGGGUAAUUAUGGUUUUCCAGGAAGUGCCUGAAUUACAGGGCCGGUGUCAUUUCCAUGUUGCUUCCUUCUGAGAAAAAUAAUGCAAGCCAAAAAAAAUUGACGUGUGGCCCGUAGGCAUUUGAAACCUGUACACACCUUGUCCAAGGCAAGGCAGCUUUGUUUCAGGAGCUCACGACUGUCCCCGUCCUUCUUCCAGCUUGGGUCACCUGGCGUGAGGGGUAGCUGUCAGUGACUUCUCCACCUCCCCUGACCGCUCUCUAUAGUGAAGGUGGCACUGUUCACCAGGCUCCUCCCUGGCUUCUCUGUGGCUCCAAGAGAGAUGAAAUGGCGAGAAAGUCAACACUGAUGAGGUCAUGGAGAAUGGGCAGCCGUGAAAUAGCAGAUUCUGUUUCCCUUCUCUGUACAAAGGCAACCUUUCAUUCCCUUGGAAAAAUCCACCGUGGGCCCUCGUGAAGAAGUGGUCUUCCCCAGGACUCCUGUUUACUUAGCUCUCGCCUAGGAGGCCAGGACUGGCUGACACAAAUGCCACCCUUUUUAAGGCAUACUGACCUCAAAUUGGCAGCGUGGAGAAAUGAGAGUUUGUGUGUGGAGCCCACAGGGAAGGUCCAUGGAAUUUUCCUGCACCAUUUUGACUGCAACAGGAGCAGCUGUUUUAUGCAGUUGUUUUGAUGCGGGGACAUUUUGACUCAGCCUAAAACCCAACUGUUAAACUUUAGGCUUAAAAAAAAAAAAAAGGCCAAGUACACGCAUUCCUAUCGUAUUCCUGAGCCUCACCUCCUUGGGGUGGGGUAAGAAUCAGAAAUGGAAUGGGGUGAUAAGAUUCUUUUUGCAAAUUGAUGAUUUUAAAACGUGUUUUACACUUUGACAAAACCGGUCAGAGCAUCAAGAAGGUGGCAUCAGAGUGGUAACGUUCAAACAUCCAGCUGCUCAUCUAGCCCCACUCUUGGCCCCCAAUAUGGCACCCUUUUUCUCAUAUUGUCUUCCGUGUUGAUUCUUGUCACAGCCCCAACACACACUCUGUAGAGACAGGCACCCCUUCUUCUGAGCCUCUGACAGUAACAGCUGUUCAGUGCCUGCUUACUUGACUAAUAGAAUAAAAUGUGCUUAUAUUCAGCUGGGACUUUCCCACAUCUCUGAAAAGCAAAGAUGAUAAAUGAAGAAAGAUCUCUAGA